UUGAAAGGGAAACGAUUGAAGUCAGUCAUACCAACGGGAAAUCAACCUUUUGAGCUCAGUCUCGUGGGUUUUGAAGAGUUUCAAAGCCUUCGGAUUCGCGGGAUUGGGAUCUCUCGGUGUACUUUCUCGUACGGUUAGUCAACAUCGGUUUUGAAUGUCAUAAAAUGACUGGAGGAAUGUAGCUUCGAUCUCGUAUUGAAGUGUUAUAGCCUUUGGUAGAUGUGAUGUUUGAGACCGAGGAUUGCAACGGAUACCCUUCAGGGCUAUUCGUCUGAUCUCUGAUACGUUGCCUUGAUGUUGAAAGCUUGCUUAUGAUGUUAGGGUAUUACGGUCAAAAGGUUAGAACGAAUUACAUUCGUUAAGGAUGUUGACGUA
rnacentral:rRNA from 1 species